rnacentral:rRNA from 1 species
GUGAGGAAUUUUGCGCAAUGGCCGCAAGGCUGACGCAGCAACGCCGCGUGGGUGAUGAAGGCCUUCGGGUCGUAAAGCCCUGUCAGGUGGGAAGAAAGGCUUGGAGAAGCAACGCUUUGAGUUUGACGGUACCACCAGAGGAAGCACCGGCUAACUCCGUGCCAGCAGCCGCGGUAAUACGGAGGGUGCGAGCGUUAUUCGGAAUUACUGGGCGUAAAGCGCGUGUAGGCGGGGAUGCAAGUCUGAUGUGAAAGCCCUGAGCUUAACCUGUGAAGUGCAUUGGAAACUGCAUUUCUUGAGUACUGGAGAGGAAGGGGUAAUUCCCGGUGUAGAGGUGAAAUUCGUAGAGAUCGGGAGGAAUACCAGUGGCGUAGGCGCCCUUCUGGACGGUAACUGACGCUGAGACGCGAAAGCGUGGGGAGUAAACAGGAUUAGAAACCCCAGUAGUCC